rnacentral:ncRNA from 1 species
GAAUAACGGAUUGUACAGAACCUUUACCAAAGCUUUUUUCACCUAAUAAAACUGCACGUCGGUGAUCCUGUAAAGCACCAGCAACGAUUUCACUGGCUGAGGCAGAACCACCAUUAAUUAAUACAACAAUUGGUAAACCAUUGGUCAUAUCACUUCCAUGGGCAUUCCAACGUUGACUAUCUUUUGGGUUGCGCGCUUUGGUGGAAACAAUUGUACCAUCACUGAUAAAGUCACUACUGACAUCAAUGGCUUGAUUAAGAAGUCCACCGGGGUCAUUCCGUAA